rnacentral:rRNA from 1 species
AUUGAACGCUGGCGGCAGGCCUAACACAUGCAAGUCGAGAGAGCGGCGGACGGGUGAGUAAUGUAUGGGGACUGCCCGAUAGAGGGGGAUAACUACUGGAAACGGUGGCUAAUACCGCAUACUAUCGGAUAACCCAUAUGUGAUUAGCUAGUAGGAUGGGUAAAGUCUCACCUAGGCGACGAUCCCUAGCUGGUAGGAGAGGAUGAUAAGCCACCCUGGUACGGAGAAACGGCCCAGACUCCGACGGAGGCAGCAGUGGGGAAUAUUGCACAAUGGGCGCAAGCCUGAUGCAUCCAUGCCGCGUGUAUGAAGAAGGCCUUAGGGUUGUAAAGUACUUUCAGCGGGGAGGCGUUACCCGCAGAAGAAGCACCGGCUAACUCCGUGCCAGCAGCCGCGGUAAUAC